rnacentral:rRNA from 1 species
GACGAACGCUGGCGGCGUGCCUAACACAUGCAAGUCGAACGGAAAGGGCCUGCGUGUUUGGGCUGCUCGAGUGGCGAACGGGUGAGUAACACGUGAGUGACCUGCCCUUGACUUUGGGAUAACUUCAGCAAACUGGGGCUACUACUGGAUAGGAGCUCCUCCUGCAUGGAGAGGGUUGGAAAGGUUCGGCGGGUGGGGAUGGACGCGCGGGUUAUGAGCUUGUUGGUGGGGGAUAGGCUGACCAAGGAUGUGCCAGGUAGCCGGCCUGGGAGGGGGGCCGGCGACAUUGGGACUGAGAGACGGCGCAGUCGGCAACGGGAGGCAGCGGUCGGGAGUCUGGCACAAUGGGCGGAAGCGUGAUGAAAAGGCGCCGCGUGCGGGAUGACGGGCUUCGGGUUGUGAACCGCUUUCGCCUGUGACGAAGCGUGAGUGACGGUAAUGGGUCAAGAAGCAACGGCUAACUACGUG